ACAGCCUUUGUGGGGCCUACGGGGCAGUAGGAGACAGGACGCUUGUCCUGCGGAAUGGCAAGGAAUCAGCUCUCCAUUUCAGGGCAAAGUGGGGCCUGGAUUGUGGGCCUUGAACAUGAAGGCAGGUGGGCGAGGGACUAGGGGACCGCGUGAGGCCCGACGUGCACACGGCAGGGCCCGGCACCCAUGGUUGCGUUCGGUCGGCCUUGGCCGGCUGGCUCCUGCUUGGAAACUUGCUGGGUGGUGUCUGCGGUAAGUCGGUGGCAUUAUUCCCAGGGGCUGUGAGGAAACCCUCAUAUCGUUUGUCCUAAAGCCUAGGAUCUUGGAAACAGGACCAUCACCCUUAUAGAGGUCAUCCCCCUCUGACCAGACCCUAUUCCAAGGCCAUUUCCUGCGUCUAAAAUCCUCCGUGGGUGUAGAAACCAGCUAGAGAUGGGAGCACUGAGGCCUGCAAUGGGAGCUCUCCUGGAGACGUGAGGGCGUUGCCGGCCUCUUCACGCUACCCCUGCU
rnacentral:lncRNA from 1 species